UAGGGUCCCUUUAAAUCGUAUCAAAGCCCCCAAAACCUUUUAAAAUAUAUAAACUCAUUCCACUAUGAAGUUAAACAAGACAAAUGGAUACCAUUUAGCCUUUAAAAGAGGUUCUACUAAGCCGUAUAUGUAACCAUAGGCUUGCGUUAUUUGAGGCUUCGUAAAUAAUAUCGUUCCACUUCGUUGACUUACCUUCGUAUUUCAAAACAACAUCCGAAUUUUCGCUUGUUUCUGCCAUCUCUUUCAUCCCAGCUUUCUGUACUUCGUUCGCCACGUCCUGUACUUUAUAUGUCUCUGUUUCAACCAUAAUUUCUUCGAGAUAAACGCCUUCAAACCAGUAAACAACCGAAGCACUUUUGUUCACGCUAACUGAGCUUUAUCGUUAAAGUUGUCUUUGUCUUCGCUUCGCCAAAAAAUUGGCGGGCACUGAUACCAAACUUCAAAUUCCCCCGUCCAAAACUCGGUAGUGCUUUUCUGCAAUUCAAUUUCAAUGCAACACAAUAAAUCUGAGCUGUAUACGCCUAAAUCUUGAGCUUAUAAACGCCUUCGUUCGUAACCUAAUGUUGCCCUCGAGAACUUGUCUUUUGGAAUGCAAAUUUUUGGCGUGGUGUGUCAAAUCUGUGCCUCAACUGAUACCAUUUGCAAGUUUAAUUAUAUAACUCACUCAACCAUGAAAGGUUUC